GAUGAAGAACGUAGCGAAAUGCGAUAAGUAGUGUGAAUUGCAGAAUUCAGUGAAUCAUCGAAUCUUUGAACGCACAUUGCGCCCCUUGGUAUUCCAUGGGGCAUGCCUGUUCGAGCGUCAUUUGUACCUUCAAGCUUUGCUUGGUGUUGGGUGUUUGUCUCGCCUUUGCGUGUAGACUCGCCUUAAAAUAAUUGGCAGCCGGCGUAUUGAUUUCGGAGCGCAGUACAUCUCGCGCUUUGCACUCAUAACGACAGCGUCCAAAAGUACAUUUUACACUCUUGACCUCGGAUCAGGUAAGGAUACCCGCUGAACUUAAGCAUAUCAAUAAGCGGAGGA
rnacentral:misc_RNA from 1 species